GCUGGCGGCGUGCCUAACACAUGCAAGUCGAACGCGAAAGUCCCGAAAGGGAUGAGUAGAGUGGCAAACGGGUGAGUAACACGUGGGUGACCUGCCUUCGAGCGGGGGAUAACGUCCCGAAAGGGACGCUAAUACCGCAUGACAUCCUGCCUUUGAACAGGUGGUGAUCAAAGCUGGGGAUCGCAAGACCUGGCACUUGAAGAGGGGCCCGCGCCUGAUUAGCUAGUUGGUGAGGUAACGGCUCACCAAGGCGACGAUCAGUAUCCGGCCUGAGAGGGCGGACGGACACACUGGGACUGAGACACGGCCCAGACUCCUACGGGAGGCAGCAGUGGGGAAUUGUUCGCAAUGGGCGCAAGCCUGACGACGCAACGCCGCGUGGAGGAUGAAGACCUUCGGGUCGUAAACUCCUUUCGAUCGAGACGAACGGCCUCCGGGUGAACAACCCGGGGGAGUAACGGUACCGAGAGAAGAAGCCCCGGCUAACUCCGUGCCAGCAGCCGCGGUAAUACGGGGGGGGCAAGCGUUGUUCGGAAUUACUGGGCGUAAAGGGCUCGUAGGCGGCCAACUAAGUCAGACGUGAAAUCCCUCGGCUUAACCGGGGAACUGCAUCUGAUAC
rnacentral:rRNA from 1 species